GGCCCAACUGCGCAUGCGUACUGUUUGAGCAUCAAUGGAGACGGGUCUCCUUGCUGUGUAUGCGUCGCUAUUGAUUGACGUUGAGUUGGAGCGAAUGAGACACGUCUGGAGGGCGCGAGGACGCACCUUCGCUCAUAUGUAGAAUCUGAUUAACGGCGAGCUGCGCGCGAGGGCGGGACAAGGGCGGCCACCGCCCAUAGUGCAUGCGUAGAGAUUGCCUGACGGGGAAGGGGAACAACUGCUGGGCGGAGAUCACGAUCUCUCCGCCUCCUGUCGGGAAGAGCUACGGAUCGAAGACUUGUACGCAUGCGUCGAGCCUCGGGUGGCAAGAAGAGAGGGCGGGCGCGGGGCGUGGUUUAGCCUCCACCCGCCCCCUAGGCCUGAUUCGAUUGGAGUGCGUGGGCAGCAAUCCGCGCUCGCUAUUGGGCAAAAUGGCUGUCAGGCAACUGAGAUGACUUGCCGUGCUGAAAGAGGCGGGCGAAAAAAAGUGAGAAAGAGAAAAAAAUCAGAGAUUUUCCACCGGCUUCGAGAGGAGAGGAAAGGGAAAAAGGGCAUUAAAUAGCCAACAUGAAUUUGGAAAAUCUCAGCAAGUCAGAAUUGCUGAUGUUCUUCAGUGUCCUUGAAGGAGAACUUGAAGCAAGAGAUGUGGUGAUUGAAGUAUUGCAAGCUCAGCACAGAGAUCGUUUCAUCCAAGAGCGCUAUGGAAAAUAUGACAUCAGUGACCCAUUCCUUGCUCUACAAAGGGAUUCUGAGUCAAUCAGGGGUGGAAACUGUGGAGACAAGCAGCCUGUGUGCACCAACCCACUAUCUGUGCUCAAAGUGGUAAUGACACAAUGCAAGAAGAUGCAGGAACGAAUGGUAUCCCAGUUGGCUGCUGCAGAGAGCAGACACCGAAAGGUUAUUGUGGAUCUAGAAGAAGAGAGAAGACGACACGCUCAGGACACAGCUGAAGGGGAUGAUGUGACCUACAUGCUGGAGAAGGAGCGUGAGCGACUCACUCAGCAGCUUGAAUUUGAGAAGUCACAGGUGAAGAAGGUAGAAAAGGAACAGAAGAAGCUGUCCACACAGCUGGAGGAGGAACGAACAAGACACAAACAGUUAACCACUGUUUUGAUGAAAGAAUGCAAAAAAGCAACCAACAAGGCAGCAGAGGAAGUUCAGAAAACUGCAGAAUUAAAACUGAAGCUAGAGAAAGAGAUGGCCAAAAGCAGUGAACGAGAGGAAGAGUUGGCCGCCGAGAAGCAGCGAGCCUUACAAAGGGAGGCCCAAAUGGAGAAACAGCUUUCCGAGUUUGACACUGAGAAGGAGCAACUGCGGGCAAGGCUAAACCGGGAAGAAAACAGGGCACGAGCCCUCAAUGAGGAAGUGCAAAGUUUAAAGCGAGUUAUUGAAGUGCUUAAAAAUAAAACAGAAAGCUCCAACAAAAUAGUAGCAAAUGAACCAAAAUCACCGGUAAACUUUCCAUUAGAGGCUGGUGCUAAGAAAAGCAAGACUAUAUCCCCUUCUUGCCAGACUGAUUGUAGUCAUGUGAAAGUGCCUAAUGGAAGUGAUUUAAAAGAAAAACACUGCACAUCAUUGCCAGCUGCAGUUGUUCCGCAAGUAAAUGGACAUUGCUCAGCAUUUAUGGUUAAUGAUGGGGAUGACCAGUCAACUGACGGCAAUAGUGUAGAUAUUCUUUUCUCCGCCGAAAGUAAAGUACCUUCUCCAUCUCCAGGGAACAUAGUUGAAAAUGGAAGUGGUAAUGUGGCUUCUUGUGCUGUACCACAUUUCCCAGGUGGAACCUCACUUUCUCCAAGCAACACUGUGAACUCUUCAGCUGCUUCCUCAGUAUCAUCAUCCCCAUGUUCAUCACCUGUGUUGACAAAGCGACUCACUAGUUCAACAAGCCCCAGUUCCAGCUUCCAGUCAUCCUACCAGGCUGGGCUGAAUCAAAGGUUUCAUGCAGCUCGAUUUAAAUUCCAAGCUCAAGCAGAGCAAGAUCAACAGACUGGCGCCUUACAAAGUCCUCCUCCAAGGGAUCUGUCACCCACUACCUCAGAUAGUUCAGCCGCCAAACAGUUGGCUCGAAAUACUGUGACCCAAGUUCUUUCUAGGUUCACAAGCCAGCCAGGAACUCUGAAAACUGCAAACAAUUCCCCCUUUGGUACUGACUAUCGACAGCUGGGUAGUUCAGCAAAAACACCAACUGGUGAUGCCAAUCAUUCACCGACUUCCAGUAAAGUCUCAAGUCCACAAUGUCCAAUGACUCCUGGGAUAAAAUCACCAACGGUAUCUAGAGUGGACAGAGGAAAUCCUCCACCAAUUCCUCCUAAGAAGCCUGGCCUUGCACAAUCACCUGCAUCACCUCAUCCGCUGGGUAAAGCAGCUACAGAUAGUGGACCUUCUCAGAUUGGGCUUUCUGCUAAAAACGAAUCAAGUGUUUCCAAUUCUGUUCAACCUCAACGAUUCUUUAAUUGGCGUGAAACAGGGAUCCAUGAGGAAGCUUCAUCGAAAUGUUCCUUGGAACGAGGAACAACGAUGGGCUCUGAGGAAGGGACUGAGGGUGGAAUUCAUGUUGCACAAGUGGGAACACCAUCUAAUGAAUCAAAUCCUGCAGCAUUCAUGAAACUUUCAGCAGUCCCCAUGGAUGUUUGUGGUGCCACAGUGGACUUACCAAACAUCUGUGGCAUGAACAACAGUUUGAUUACACCAACCAGUAAAGAGAUUGAUAUACUUCUGCCAACUAGUAGUUAAACUGUCUAGAAAUGAAAUGGUAUCUGUCCCCAGACUGAGUGACAAAACAACAAGCCACAUUUUUGAUGGUCUACCCUGCAAUUAAAAGUACUGAAAUAUCUGUGUGCUAUCAGUUCUGUACAACACAGAGCGGAAGAGAGCAAACUAACAUUGGACUAAGAUGGGCAACAUCUUUGACAGAUUUGUUGACAUUGAUACCACCUCCUGUCUGAGUGAAAUUAUUAGGAUUGACUCCGACUCAGAAGAUCUAGAAAACCUCUGUAUCAGCCCUGAAGGGGCAGGACUUGGCCGAAGGUGCGCAAUCCCUUUAAUUGUUGAUGCAAAGAGGUUGCUGCGUCCAGAUAAAAAAUAUUUUAUGGCUUUGGGGGGUAUUGCCAAGCGCCCAAGGAUAGUGUCCAAUAAUGGUCCUAGGGUGGUAAUGCCUAUAAAUCGAGGGCUAAUUACUACUAGAAGACAGACCACUAAGACCAGUAAACAUCCUUUUGUCAUCACAACCAGAAACAACACCUCGCAUUUAUGUAGCAGCUUUGAGAAUGUAACGCAUCCCAAGGUGCUUGACAGGAGCGUUUUCACACAAAAUGUAGCCACUGCUGCUAAAACAUUUUGGAAAAAUUUCACUAAAAGCCUUGGCUCAAGCAUCAAUGCAAGUCCUUCAACCAUCACAGUACCCAACACGAGGACGUCUAUUACUGGAAAUGCUGUUACAAUGCCAAGAGUAACUCCUGUUCGGAACUCUCUACCUGCCACUCGAAACACACGGCUAAUUGCCACCAAGAGACCUGGUGCACCUACCACUAGAAGUCCUUGUGUGACUGCCAUGAAAAUUCCUAGAUCAAAAACCGCUGUAAGAACUUCAACAGCUAUGAGGAAGAAUCCCAGAAUGGUACCCAUUAGAAAAACAUCAGCGAUUCACACUGCAAUGCCAAGGAGCACUGCCAUUGGUAAUCCUUUGAUGACAAGCACAAGAGGCCCAAGAAGGAUGUCUUUGACUGUCACCAGUAGAAAUCCUAUCAUAGUCACCAACAGUAACCCCUCAGCAACUACAAUUAGAAGCCAAAAGAGAUUGGGCAUUGGAAAUAAAAAUAAUGUUGCUAUUAAAAUUCCUUGCAAUGCUACUGUUCAAAGUUCCAACAAGACCAUCACUGAAAAGUCCGACAGUUGUGCUUUUCGAAAUCCCAACAGGACCUUCCAACAACUCAACAGGAUCCCCAUCCAAAAUCCCAACAGGACCACCAUCCAAAAACCUAUCAGGAAUACCAGUCGAUAUCCCAACCAAACUGCCCCUCGUACACCCAACAGGAUUGCUGCUGAAGAAGUCAAAAUUCUCGCCAUUGAACAGGCCAAUAAGAGCAUGAUUCAAAAGACCAAAGAAUCGGUCAUGAGAAAACAUGACAAGGGGGUCAUUCCAAACCCAAACGUAAUCACGAUUAAAAAUGCUCAUGUUAUCAACAUUAGCUAAGACCUGUUAAGCUGGUGACAUAAAGUAUAAGAAAAUAUUCAAUUAGAAGAUUUAACACCAUAAUGAAAAGCUCAAUGACACACAUUCUAUAAGCAAUGUAUCUAUUUUCCUUUUAGCUAUUUUUAUCCAUGUGACUUAUCUAUUAAAUGGAAUAAAGUUUAAUGUGCCUGCUAUGGUUUCAGCUGUUGUUCUUCUCUUAGACCUUUCAGCAUGCUUCCUAGCAUCUAGUGCAUAGAAUUGAAAUUGGAAGCAUCUGCAGAGAUCAUGAACAAUGGGUCAUUCAUGCACCUCCACCCACCAUCCCCUCCCCCACCCCCAGAUUUCUUGGAACUAACCUUGGGAGACAAGGAGAAAGGGAUAAAAGAAAAGGUUGAUUCUAUAUGAACUUUAAAAUCAGUUUGUAGAAUGGGGUAGAAUUUGAAAUUUGGUCUGAUUAUAUUUCGUAUUCAGUUUACCAUAGUUA